rfam:Camelus ferus unplaced genomic scaffold scaffold26915, whole genome shotgun sequence.
GAGGCUAUAGCUUGGUGGUAGAUCACAUGCUUAGCAUGCACAAGGUCCUGGGUUCAAUCCCCAGUACCUCCA